CUCAACAUAAACAUGAUUUAGUUUUAUAACAUGAUAUCGUUGUAGCAGUUUGUAUUCAUUUUUAUAAUUAUUUUGUUGAUAUUUUAGGGUAAUUGCAAUACUUUUCUUAGAUGAUUAUUGUACCUUAAAAUCUCUUCCUGUUGCAACCCUAAUUGCUUUCUAAGAUUUUAUCCUUUAGGUUGUGAUCUGAUGGUGAUGGAGUUGUUGGUGCAUCAAGUGGAAAUAUGUUCCUGAAGGCAAGAUGCAGAAUGUGCAGGAAGAGGAGAGGGCACUGCAUUCAAGCACUUAGCAGCCUCCUGUCUCUGCUUGAUGAUGAUAAUGUGCUGUCUUCAAAAGAGUUCAGUUCAAAAGAAAAGGGCAGUCAUUCUGAGAGGCCUUCCACAUUUUCUCAGGGAGGAUUCAUCCAAACUUCUAA